rnacentral:lncRNA from 13 species
AAUUAGUUUUGAUUAUAUCCUGCAGGUGAUGGGAAGCCAUUGAAGAGAUGGAAGGAGUUAAAUGAUCAUGCGUGUUUUUAGAAGUAUCUUCUGAAUGGAGGGUUGCAGCGUAAGAAGUCCUAAAAUGGGAACCAUUCCGGGGAGAGGCGAGCAGGCUUUUCUGUGGGGUUUGGAGGAAUGGUUAUGAAUGGAAAGAUCAUUGAGGAAAGUGAGAAAGGAGCUACCCAGACAGAAACUGUCAGGCUGAAGGGCAAUGGUGAAUCUGUAAUGUCUGUGGGAAUAUGGGAUCAUCUUGUGCCAGAUGUUCUAUGCACAAACAUCCUGAGACUGCUCAAAUAUACCAGCCAACGAUUUGACUGCAUUGGAUAUGCCUGUUGUUUUUUUGAUGACAUAAAUCCAUUUGAAAAUUUGAUCAUGCCAACACCUUCAGGCAAGUUUGGACCAUAGGAGGGCACAGAGAGAGCAUCUAGGCUUGUUUUUUUCCAGGAAGCACAAUCUCAGCCCUUGGAUAUCAGCUCUGCUGUUUUUCCAAAAGAUGUUGGCGAUGCAUGAGUUAAACCACACACCCUUUUAUUUGACGGAAUGGAGAUGAAAUAUGUAGCUUACUGUCUGUAAAAGAACAUGAGAGAUUGAAGUAAUGCAAAAAGUCUAAAGGACGAAACUUUGGAAUUCUUAAAUAGAAUCUGAACACAUUUGUAUCCUGAGAGCUAAGUUCAAAGCCUGUGAAAUAAUUCUUGAAUGUGUGAGUUAAUGAAAGAAAAUUCAAUUUUUUUAAAGGGUGGAAAUUCUUGACUGAAAAACUAAGUAACUGAGUAAACACAUUACACAAACUUACUGGGAUGUCUGCAGGUGCCGCAAGGGAUGCCGAACACAGUGACAAGGGAAAAGGAGUUGGAGACUGGGAAUUGCCUUCAGAGUAAGAGAAAAACAGAAGAAAAAAGUGCAGAGCAGGAGGAGGGAGGAUGGGGCAGGGCUCUUAUCUGGCAGAGUGAUUUGAACUCUCUGAAUGUAAAUGAAGAUAACAGCAUAUCCUUAAAGUCACCUCCAUCGCCCUGGCUAAGAUUCUGGAC